UGGGGAAUAUUGCACAAUGGGCGAAAGCCUGAUGCAGCGACGCCGCGUGAGGGAUGACGGCCUUCGGGUUGUAAACCUCUUUCAGUAGGGACGAAGCGCAAGUGACGGUACCUGCAGAAGAAGCACCGGCUAACUACGUGCCAGCAGCCGCGGUAAUACGUAGGGUGCGAGCGUUGUCCGGAAUUACUGGGCGUAAAGAGCUCGUAGGCGGUUUGUCACGUCGUCUGUGAAAUCCUAGGGCUUAACCCUGGACGUGCAGGCGAUACGGGCUGACUUGAGUACUACAGGGGAGACUGGAAUUUCUGGUGUAGCGGUGGAGUGCACAGGUAUCAGGAAGAACACCGAUGGCGAAGGCAGGUCUCUGGGUAGUAACUGACGCUGAGGAGCGAAAGCAUGGGUAGCGAACAGG
rnacentral:rRNA from 1 species